rnacentral:lncRNA from 1 species
UCUCUACGGGUGUCAGAAUGGUAUGAAACUUUAAAUCUAGCCUCAUAAAAAUAUUUCUGACAUCCCCGCCAAUUUUCAUAAUUUUCUGAGACUGUACAUUUUCUGCUAAUUUAUCAGUCCCGUUUCUAACAGAAAAUUCUAAAUCUUCUGUUUUCGCUCCGAUUUCAACACAGGUCGCUCCCAACCGAUAUUUCACUUCUCUAAAUCUAAUAAAAUAGUAUCUCAUACUAUUUUUAUUUAUUUUUUUCUCUUUUAUAUUUAAAAUCCGGUAUGUUACAUUCCACCGCAACCUCACCGGAACCAUUUAAAUGUACACCGUAACUUCAUAAUUUUAGAAGUCCGGUACCUUACAUUCUCCUCUCCUUAUAAAGAGUUUCGUCCUCAAAACUCAAACCACAUCUCCACUCGAUUUAUCGAGCUAGCGAGGGUACCAACAUGCCUUUCCACUCCGAUUCCGACCACCGGCAUUGCAUAACGACAAUAUCAUUGGUGCAUCGGCCAAUCGCGAGUGCUUCAACUUCAACCGAACCCUUGCUCUAUCACGAGAUGGCACACUCCCGAACAUCUCAGAUCUCAAUCCUCUUUGGGAGCAAUAUCCGCACGUGGCUAUCGGUCACUCAAGUGCCUCCUAGAGACCACUUAACUUUAUCCUUUGUUACCAUAAGCCACGCUCAAAAUCACACGAACCCUCCGUUCGUGAAUCUAAGCCCAACUCACUAACAGAGUUGCCAACCGCACCGAUCAUCGGUUUUCACAGGCGGAUCAACGGUCGUAGCCAUUACGUAGGCUUACCGCCUAUACCUGGCGCAACUACGCCUAGCGUCUCUCGUUCGCACGUAGACCCAAUCAUCAUUCCCGGGCGACAUCCUUAUUGGAGAACUCGCACACACUCCAACCAGGAGCUAUCAAGACCUCAAUCAGUCGGGUCACCACACACUCGGUGUAUCAUCAAUCUCGCACUCUACCACAUGACAUUCCACGUACUCGGGUCUAAGCUCGGACUACCGUCCUGACCAACACUCUCGCCCUACCAAUAGGUAUCGGGCCGCUGUCUCUCACAGCUGACUGCGCCUGCCCAAUGGGCCCAGGCUCCACAGUCCACAAGUGGUCCAGGCACGGGUCGUCCCCGAGCACUACCCGCCAACGUCGUCCUACACGACAUGCUCUACAGAGCUACAAGUACCACUAUCGGCUCCUAAGCACCUAGUGCGAGCCACCAGCCCCACGAGUGAUCCAUGGCCCGCUUCACACUUAGCCCUGCUAAAGUGCUACUGCCAAUUCACUCAACCGGCUGAAUCGAAACCGCACCUCACGAGUAACUAUACUCGAGUGCUCCACGCCUCUACAGCGUCUCACACGAAAUCCAGCAUCAGGCAACUUGCCUAUGCACGUCAACUACACGAGCACAACUCGUCCACCUCAACAUCGAGGUACUACUAGGCCAACAGGCCCGCGUCCGUCAACUACACGGCUACUCUCACCACAGUGGUUCUACUUUCACUAUCCGAUCUACUGGAACACAUUCUCAACUCCCGAGUCUUUCGGGUAUCAUCACAUCAAGGCUCAACUCUCGUAAUUCUCUAUACCAUUGUUUCGAGAGUCACUUACCAAAUCAUGUUUUCCACGAGCCUCAUUCUUUACCUGAGAAUCCUCACUAGCCAUUAGCUAGCACCCUUUAGCUCUCUACCAGCACCAACAGGUGCUACAUUCUCACGAUGUCAGCAUGCUCGGGUAUCUACCUCUACCCGUCCCAACGGUCCCUACUAUGCAAUGUAUAAAUAGUAGCAACAGACCAACGAUGAAUGCAUGCUAUGCAUCAACCUGAGAUUAUGCAAAAGUAUAUGCUUGCUCAACUAACUCAUACCUGCCACGAUGUCGUCGGCAACGGCAGGUUCCACAGCUCGGGUCGCUUAUCCAUGGCCACUUGGCGCUCGUCGCGAACCCUCUGGCAGCAUCAUCCUCAACGGCCGCUCCCCCGACCAUGCCGCAGGUGGCACCCCUGCCGGCUGUCCCAGAGAGGAAUGGACCGUCGCUAGUGUCAAGGCCCGGCUAUCACCCUGCGGACACUCGUCCCGCACAUGACCCGGCAGCCCACACUUGAAGCACUUACCCUCAUGCUGCUCACACUGCUGUGGGAAAUGAGGGCCUCCACAAAUAGCACAUCUCGCCGAGGACCGAAUACGGUAUGUCCCCGGAGCUCGGGAUCGCGAGUGCGAAGUCCUUUGGGAACUCGAUUGACCACUGGAUCCACCUGUCGGUCGUCCUUUCCCCUUUUUCCUUGUAAUACGACUCGCGCUCUUCCCGCAUAAACGCGUUGCCCUGUUCUAUCCACAAGGCCCGAUCCAGGACUUCAGCAAAAGUCUGCAACCUGUGUACAUUCACAGCCUUGUAGAGGUCUGACCGAAGUCCACGCACAAAGCAGUCGGCCUUGUCCUUGUCACCCCGCACCACGUUCGGGAUACAAUGCACGAUACGGGAGAAUUCCCGCUCGUAUUGCCUGACCGAGCGGUCACCUUGCCGCAGCUUCCAGAACCUCUCCUCAAGCUUUUUCCUUUCACUGUCGGGGAAAUAAGCAGAGAACAACAUUCCCCGAAACUCUUCCCAAGUCAUUGGAGGGAGACUAGGCGAUCGAUCUCGCUUAACGCCUUUCCACCACACCUUCGCCGAUUGUUUCAAGUAGUGCACGGCUAGGUUUACCUUGUCCCGCUCCUCAGUGUACAGAUCCUCGAAGAGUGUUUCUAUGGAAUCAAUCCACAUUUCUACGAUCCACGGAUCUGUGUCCUCACCAUCAAAGGUAGGCGGAUCAAAUUUCUUGAAAGCCAUGAGGGCAGCCAAAGCUCGCUCCCGUUCCGCCGCCACCUCUGAACCAACAGGAGUCGGAUUACCCAACCCCGACGGAAACAUCUCUGCCGCGACUCCCGGCCGUCCAUGACGAGCCGUAGCUGGCGCAGCCACCAGCUGAUCUAGCGUCUCUUGGAGUCGUUUCAUUCGCUCCUCUUGGCGCAUGGCGGCCUCCUGCUGCCGCUGCACCACAUCAGCCUGUUGCCUCACCACUCCCACGAGUGUGGCCAACUGAUCACGAAGCUCUGCGCCUACGCUCGCUUCGACUUGCUCAGGGACACCACUUGUCCCCACCCGCGCCGAUCUGGACGAAGAUCGCCUACGCGGUGCCAUCGUUUCCUGAAACACGACAACUUGAUUAGUUCUCGACCAACUCGGGUCGAACGCGAAACCAUUAACACCGGCUCAAAAGCCAAUCGGGCGAAAGUCAUGCAAGGGCGUCUAUUCUCAUCGCUCGGCUUCAUGUUGUGUGCACCCAACAUGAACACCCUCGGUUGAGAAUCAACAACAUCUUGAAUCUACCUCCAAUAUCCGUCUUAGAGGUUUCAACACUUAACACAAUCAAUUAUCUUUCGCCAUAAAUCACAAAUCCUCGUCUCUCUCACGAGCCUUAAUCUCCUAGGCUUUUACUAUCCUAGGGUCUCCUAGGUUUGCCUAAACCAUUCCUAUUUUCUACUUUAUGCUCUGAUACCACAACUGUCACGACCCGCGACCACCCGCCUAUUUGGCCGAGGUCCCGGCGCCGCCGACAUCGCCGAAUGGACAAGGUUUCCCCUGUACAACGGACAGAGUCUCCCCUGUACAUUCAAGGCAUUGCAAUCGAUACAAUUCACGAAGGUUCCAACCAGGAACAGAUAUCAAUCAACAGAUUGCAAGAGGAGGGUAUCAUACAACAUAAACACAUCCUAAAUUAUUACAUUCAUUCGCAUUCAUAGUGUUUACAUCACAAUUACCAUUCUUUUACAUUCGACCUCCAAUCACAAUCUAAGUUAUUACAACUUAAACAAGCUCGAUACAUUUCUUUUCAUUUCUUUUAAACCCUUAAGCUAGACUGCCACAGGGUACAACUAUCUCAGUCUCUGGGGUAGGACGCUAUCUGCAGAACUACGCCCUCACCUUGCGCCGCCGCGCUGCACACGUGUGUACCUGUACCCCCAAAAACAGCAACACGGGGGUGAGACUAUUGUCCAUAGUCCUCAGUGGGUUUAGCCACCCAAGAGAACAAGCUCAGCCAACAGGUCUAACGAGGCACUGCAACAUGUUAGUUCAACAAUAUACAACAGAUAUAUAUAUUCAAUUGAAAUACAUGUCAUGCCUCACGAAAUGCAAUAUGCAAAACCUGUAAUCAUGCAAGUAGGUUACUUUAACGCUACUUUUGCUCUUAACCAUUCUUUAUUCUUUGUCAUUUAACGCUUACUUUUAGCUCUUAGCUAUUCUUUACUUGUAACCUCUCUUUAGCUAUUCUUUAUCAUUUAGCUAUUCUUUACUCUUAACAUUCUUGAACCAUGCUAUAUCUUAGCCUUUGGCAUUCUACUCUAAGGUCACUUUANGAAGGCUCCGUACAGAAUGGCACCUGCUGAGUUGAGAGAAUUGAAAGCUCAGUUGCAGGACUUGAAGGAUAAAGGCUUUGUAAAGCCUAGUGUAUCACCGUGGGGAGCUCCAGUUUUAUUUGUAAAGAAGAAAGACGGAACGUUUCGGCUUUUCGUUGAUUAUCGUGAACUGAACAAGAUCACGAUAAAGAAUAAAUAUCCGUUGCCGCGAAUUGACGACUUAUUUGAUCAGUUGCAAGGAUCGCGAGUAUAUUCGAAGAUUGAUCUUCAAUCGGGUUAUCACCAAUUGAAAAUCAAGCCAGAGGAUGUGCAUAAGACAGCGUUUCGCACUCGCUAUGGUCACUAUGAGUUUACAGUAAUGCCGUUUGGGCUUACCAACGCCCCGGCAGCGUUCAUGGAUCUGAUGAACAGGAUCUUUAAGCCACUGUUGGAUCAGUGUGUAGUGGUGUUUAUAGAUGACAUCCUGAUCUUUUCUCGAAGUAAUGAGGAGCAUGAAGAACAUUUAAGAAUAGUAAUGCAAAUUCUGCGGGAAAAGCAAUUGUAUGCCAAAUUGAAGAAAUGUGAAUUUUGGCUACGAGAGAUUGCAUUUUUGGGACACGUGAUUUCUGAGGGUGGUGUUUCUGUUGACCCAAAGAAACUAGAGGCAAUUAAAGAUUGGCCUCGCCCGACGACUGUUCCAGAGAUCCGCUGUUUCCUUGGACUUGCUGGAUACUAUAGGCGGUUCGUGGAGGGGUUUGCGAAGAUUACUACUCCACUAACGCGCCUUACACACAAAGGAGUUAAAUAUGUUUGGAGCGAGGAAUGUGAUCGUAGCUUUCGGGAGUUGAAAGAAAGGUUGACUUCGGCUCCUAUUCUCGCCUUGCCUAUUUCGGGAGAAAGCUAUGUGGUUUAUAGUGACGCUUCCUACAGUGGGCUUGGGUGUGUACUUAUGCAAGGUGGUCGAGUGAUUGCUUAUGCAUCUCGCCAACUGAAGACUUAUGAAAAGAAUUAUCCUAUCCAUGAUUUAGAAUUGGCGGCAGUGAUCUUCGCACUGAAGUUGUGGAGACAUUAUCUUUAUGGCGAGCAUUGUGAAAUCUAUACUAAUCACAAAAGCCUGAAGUAUUUAUUCACCCAAAAAGAACUGAAUAUGCGACAACGCCGGUGGUUAGAAUUGUUGAAAGAUUAUGACGUGAAUAUUCUAUACCACCCGGGAAAGGCAAAUGUGGUUGCGGAUGCACUGAGUAGGAAGUCAGUGGAGAACUUGGCUAUGUUGAUCACACAUCAACCGUCAUUGUGGAAGGAAAUGUGGCGGUUUGACCUUGAGGUAGUAGCUCCAGAGGUACCAGCUAUACUCGCCGCUUUAGUUGUUCAACCGACUUUGUUGGAACGGAUUAAAGAUCGACAAUCUUUAGAUCCAUAUCUCCAAAAGGUGCGGUGUGAAGUUGAGAGCGGGCGUGGUGAUGAUUUUACAGUGGGAUCUGACGGAGCACUUCGGUUUCGAAACCGGUUGUGCGUGCCCAAAGACGAGGAGAUUCAGCGGGCUAUUUUGCAGGAGGCUCAUCAGUCAUCUUAUAGUAUACAUCCAGGUGGCACUAAGAUGUACAGGGAUCUUAAAGUGCAUUAUUGGUGGCCUGGAAUGAAGAAUGAUGUUGGACAGUUUGUGGCGCAAUGUUUGACUUGUCAGCAGGUUAAAGCUGAGCGCAGAUUUUCCGCGGGAAAGUUACAGAGCUUGCCUAUUCCAGUUUGGAAGUGGGAGAACAUUGCGAUGGACUUCAUUGUUGGAUUACCUCGAUCGCAGGCUGGACAUGAUACCAUUUGGGUGAUUGUUGAUCGAUUGACGAAAUCGGCGCAUUUCUUGCCAAUUCAUAUCACUUGGUCAGGGGACAAGCUAGCACAGGUGUACCUCGACGAGGUUGUGAGAUUACACGGAGUCCCGACGUCGAUUGUAUCUGAUCGAGAUCCGCGGUUUACGUCUCACUUUUGGAGGAGCCUACAGGAUGCUCUUGGCACACGUCUUGACUUUAGUACAGCCUUUCACCCUCAGACCGAUGGACAGUCUGAGAGGACGAUCCAGAUUUUGGAGGACAUGUUACGGGCGUGUGUGCUUGACUUCAGAGGGAGUUGGCAUGACUCCUUGGCGAUGGCUGAGUUUGCAUAUAAUAACAGUUAUCAAGGAAGUAUCGCUAUGGCACCGUUUGAAGCCUUAUACGGGAGAAAAUGUCGAUCCCCUAUCCAUUGGAGUGAGGUAGGAGAAAGGACUGUUCUUGGUCCUGAGGUACUCCAGGAGGCGGAGGAAAAGGUACGCCUAAUCCGCCAGAGAUUGUUGACGGCCCAGUCACGGCAGCAGAGUUAUGCAAAUAAGCGCCGAAAGGACUUGGAAUUUGCAGUGGGUGAUCGGGUGUUAUUGAAGGUGUCACCAAUGCGGGGAAUGAAAAGAUUUGGAGUUCGAGGAAAGCUUAGUCCUCGAUACAUUGGACCUUACGAGAUCCUAGAGCGGGUUGGAGCAGUAGCUUACAGAUUGGCUCUACCGCCAAAACUUGAAGGAGUUCACAAUGUGUUUCAUGUUUCAAAUCUCCGAAAAUAUGUGCAUCAUUCAGGGCAUGUCCUAGAGUACGAACCAGUGGAGUUGCAGGAGAACAUGACUUACGAAGAAUAUCCAAUCUGCAUUUUGGAUCGCAAGGAUAAGGAAUUGCGAAAUCGCACCAUUCCCUAUGUGAAGGUUCAAUGGAGCAAUCACUCAGGUCGUGAGGCGACUUGGGAAUUGGAAAAUGCCAUGCGUGAAGCCUAUCCCCAUCUAUUCAACCAGGUGAACUGAGGUAUGAAUUUAAGUUUCGAGGACGAAACUAUUUUAGGAGGGGAGAUUGUAAUAGACUGAAAAUUGCUUAUAAGCUAAUUGUGAUUAAAGUAGUCACAAUAAUGCUAAAAUGGAAAUUAAAGGUUUCUAAACCUAAGUAGAGGUUUGAGAUCAGUCAUUGAGUCAUGUUGGAAGUGUGAGAAUAGAAAUAAAUGGGAUUGAAAUGGUUAAAGAACUCCAAUCGCCGUUAUUACUCUAUUGCUGAAAUUUUAGUCAACUUGGUCGAAAAAUGAUCAAGUUGAUGCUAAUUCGAAAAUGGAUUGCUUCCAAACUAUUUUGGUAGCUUGGGAAGCUUCUUUGGAAGGUUUUAGAAGUGUUGGAAUGAAAUUGGAGUGAAUUGAAUGCGAGAAACAAGAGAUUGGACAAGCUGCUGCUGCUGCUGUUAAUAUUGUCACCAGGGCUUCUUGUACCGGUACAAGAAGCCUAUACCGGUACAGCAGUUGCGGGCAGCACUUGUCCACCAAUGCAAUUUCAUGGAUUUAAAGGGCUAAAUUGCAAUUUUUCACCCUUAUCACUUCACCCUUAGUGGAAUACACUUGUCUAAAUAUCAGAGAUUCCAUUCCCUUCAUUUCUUAUCAUCUAAUUCCUUCUCUCUUUCUCUCUAAGUAAAGAAAGGGUUGAGGGGAAAUUGGAGUUGGCAGCUUGGAGGGUUGUGGGCUGAAGGAGAAGACCUGAUCCAAUCAUAGAAUUGCUGCUGAUUGGAGUUGCUAGAUCACCUGGAACAGCAACUAAUCAAGGUAAACUUGAUUAAGACUUAUGGAUUUCUUGUUAAUUACCUUGAAAAAGAUGUUUAUAUGGACUCUUGGGGGUUAGCAGCUUGAUGGUUUGGGCUUAUUGAUGCUGCGAGCAGAGACUUCAGCAGAGAGAGCUUGGAAUUGGGGUAUGUAUAUAUUGCUUCUCAGCUGGGAGCUUAGUAGGUGCUGUAGGGAAGCCUCUAAAUGAAUAAUUGAGACAUGUAAUGCAGGAAAAUUCAGUUUGGGGCUGAUCUGGUACUCGCAGGCUACCAAGCUGAAGUGAAGUUGAUGUUGUUGGUGCUGUUGUGCUGCCGAAAUGCAGGGGUGACCCAUUUCAUGCAGUGAGCAAGCUAAAUUAGCACUAAGUUAAAGUAAGUUCACUCCACAUCUAAAUAUAGUCCAAGUAGUUACUUUAGAAUGGAUCAAACUAAGAGUUCGAUUGCUGAAAUUCAGAUUUGGAGCUGAAAAUUGCAAUCUUGGUGGAACUUGGAGAAUUCCUGCAGCAGUGACCCUUUGGUAUAGCUUUUAACUAAGUUAAUAUCAAUUAUUAAGUAAUUAACUAGGAGUUAAUUACAUCUGGACUGAUUUACAUGAAGGAAUUGCUGCGAGAAGUAGAAUAAUAGAAGCUUCAGCUGAGUGAAGUUGAUGCAUUAGUGCUGAAAUUCCAACAUGGUUCAUGAUUUCAGCACUCGUAUAGAGUUGAGUAAUGAACUGAAAUAAAAGGCUUCAAGGCAGUAAUUCUUGCUAAUUGAACUAAGCGUUCUAGACUUAUAGUAGUUGCUCGACGAAGAGGUGAAUUGCUGAAAAUUCAGCAUUUGGCAACAUUUCAGUCUAGUGUAUGUACUUGGAGUUGGAAAUGCUAACUUGCAAAAUUUGAACAUGUGACUUUAGUUUAACCUCUUUUGUUAUCUUAUAAGUGAAAGUUAUUUAUUCUCGAAAGUCUAAAUUGACUUUCCGACAGGUCGGUGACGCGCUAACUACGAUAGAAGCCAUUUUGGCUCUAAUUGCUUCUAGUCGUGAGAUACCCUCGUGGAUUCACUUCGAGACGUGAGAUUUGAUUUGCGACACCACUACAGGUGGGUGGUGCUAUCCGAAAUCUUUGAAUCACCUUUUAUGUCUAUUGUAAUUCAUUGAGCAUAUUUACAUUGUAUUCACGCAUUAUAGGGUUUUGAUAUUAUGUAGUGAUAUUGAUUAUGCAAAUUCUUAUUGAAAAUGAGAACAUGUGAACAUAGAAUGUGGACAUAGAACCCUAUGAAUGCAUGGACUAUAACAAUAGUGAACUUGGUGACAUUCUAACUAGAGGUUUGGUUAGCAUCGAGAAAUGAAUUUGUGAAACUAGCAUAAAGAACUAGUUAGAGUAAAGUGUGACAGUGUUUGUCAGUUGAAUCCUCUAAAGGGGGAUCAGAUCAUACUCACAUUUGUUUGGUUCAAGUGAGGUCGCUCCUCCUUGAACGAUGAGCUCCGGAGUAGUCAUCUUUACUGGACUAGGAGGUUGCGUCUCCCCCAGUUUAGUCCUGUCGGGUGCAGGUUGCGUCUCCCCGAUAUUUGGGAUAGUGUCAGUGAGUGAUUGUUAACCAAAUGGGUUAACCAAUGAAUUGGGUAAAUUCAGUAAAAAGCAUGCAUGCAUAUUUACAGUUUACAUAUAUUGCUUUCUUUCAGCUUUGUACAGGCAUUGUAGUAGUUACAUGUUAUAGUUGGUUACUAUCUGUUUACUCCUUUUGCCUACAUAUACCUGAAUAGACCUAGUGGGUGAGUCGGCGAGGUCGGCAGCCGAACCCACUGGGAACUUUCUUGUAGUUCUCACACCACUAACCACACAGGUUCCAGUGCGAGCGUCGUGGCCAUGGAUCGCGGCAAGGGCCCCGCAGCUUAGCUAGCUGACACCAGAGUAUAGUGGUUACCAUUUUGGCUUUAUGUAUCAUCUAGUUCGAUGUACAGAGACAUGUAAAUGAAUGUAUAAUAGAAUAUGUAAAUAACUAAAUGAUUUCAUAUUCAGUUAUGUAAAAUUCAGUUUGAAAGUUUUAAAUUACAGUGAAUUUCAUAUUUAGCUAGCUUUACUAUCACUUGUGAUUGUUGCUUGCCUUCGUGCAAGCCAUGUAUACUGAAAUGUGAUCUUGGGAAUUGUUUAUUUCUCUAUACAUGUACUCGUUGUUGUUGAGCCUUGGGCGAACAGAGGAGGUGCUGUUCGUUCGGCGUCUGUGUACGGGCCCGGAUCGACCAAAUUGGCGAUAGCGGGACGUGACACGAAUGUCCAUACCGCGUACGGAACGCGGUCUUCGGGACAUCCUCCGGCUUGAUCUUCAACUGAUGGUAGCCGGAUUGAAGAUCAAUCUUCGAGUACACUCGCGACCCCUGUAACUGAUCAAACAAGUCGUCAAUGCGGGGUAACGGGUACUUGUUCUUCACAGUGACCUUAUUCAACUCGCGGUAGUCCACGCAGAGUCGAAAAGAUCCGUCUUUCUUGCGCACAAACGAUAAUGGGGCUCCCCAUGGCGACACGCUCGGCCUAAUAAACUCCUUGUCAAGAAGAUCUUGCAACUGAUCUCUCAACUCUCUCACCUCAGCCGGCGCCAUGCGAUACGGGGCCUUCGAUAUCGGCGCGGUUCCGGGAAUUAAGUCUAUCAUGAACUCAAUCUCCCGGUCCAGCGGCAUCCCCGGUAACUCUGCCGGAAACACAUCUGGGAACUCCCGCACAACCGCCAAUUCUUCGAGAGUCGGAACUACUCGAUCGACUUCCACGACAGUCGCCAAAUAAGCCGUGCAACCACUGUUGACUAGCUUCCUCGCUCUUGUCGCCGAUACCGUCGCGGCGAAACACGAACUCUUGCAAGCUCGAUACGUGAACUCCUCGUGUCCCGGCUCCCGAAAUGUGAUCACUCUGGUCUUGCAAUCAAUGGACACAUAAUACUUCGAGAGCAAGUCCAUGCCCAAUAUUAUGUCGAACUCUUUCAAUCUCUUGAGUGCCAGCAGAUCGAUCGGCAUGACCCAGUCGCCUACUUGCACUGGGCACGCUAAACACCGCUUCCUUACAAUGAAUGAUCGCCCGGGUCCUUCUACAUGCCAAACGUUCUCCCCUAGACGAAUCACAACAUCAUGCUCUAGAGCAAACGAUCGACUAAUGAACGAGUGAGAUGCACCUGUAUCGAAAAGAGCUCUCGCUCGAACACCGCUAACCAAAACCAUACCUGCUACCACAUUGCGCUCCUCGGCUUCGGUGGGCUCCUCGACUUGCACUUGAGCGGCAUACAUUCGGCCACUCGGAGCCGAUCGUGCGGGUUCAGGUUGGCGUGGCGCAGCCGCACGUCCAGCCGACGCCACAGCAGGUGGAGCUCCAUAACGAGCCGGAAUCGCCUGGGCCGAUGCAACAGACGGGGCAGGAAAAGCCCCUCCCUGAGGACAGUCACGUACCAUGUGUCCGGCUUGCCCGCACCUAAAACACUUUCCUCGGCGCUGCUCACAUACACCGGGUCGGUGGUCACCGCCACAGAAGAUACAACGCUGUGCUCCGCGGCCCUUCGACUGCGAUCGUGGAUACUUCGGGGGUCUUCUGGAACUCGAUUGUCCCCCCGAACUACCGCCCGGUCGCUUCUUCCCUUUAUCCUUCUCAUAGGUCUCACGGUUCUCACGCUCGCAAGCGUUCCCGUGCUCGACCCACAAGGCACGGUCCAAGGCCUCUGCGAAGGUGUGGAACUUGAAAGCAUGGACCGUCCUAAACACUCCGGGUCGGAGUCCCCUCACGAAGCAAUCUGCUCGGUCUUGCUCCGUCGUCGGAACGUCCGAGACGCAGUUCAAAAGAUGAGUGAACUCCCGCUCGUACUCCCGAACCGUCCGAUUGCCUUGUUUGAGCUUUCUGAAGUCUUCCCGCAUAUUCCUUUUAUCACUGUUGGGAAAGUACUCUGCGAACAUCAAUCUUCGGAACUCCUCCCAAUCGAUCGGGGGAAGAUCCGGAGAUCGAUCCUGUUUCACUCUCUUCCACCACACUCGGGCCCGCUUGUUGAAACAGUGUGCGGCCAAAUUCACCUUGUCCCGCUCCUCGGUAUUGUCACAGCCCGCGACCACCCGCCUAUUUGGCCGAGGUCGCGGCGCCGACAGUGCCGAACGGACAGGGUUUCCCCUAUACUACAGACAGAGUCUCCCCUGUACGUUCAAGGCAACGCAAUCAAUACAAUACGAGGGUUCCAACCAGGAACUGAUAUCAAUCAAGAUUGCAUAAUGGAAGGUAUCAAACAACAUAAACACAUCCUAAGCUAUUACAUUCAUUCACAUUCAUGCAUUUUACAUCUCAAUUCUCAAUUGCUUUAACUUCCAAAUACAAUCUAAGUAGUACAUCGUUUACUUAUUACAAUUUGAUACAUUCGCUUUCUUUUCAUUUCCUUUACCCCUAAGCUUUGUAGACGGGUACUGCUAGCUCUGUCUCCGUGGUAGGGCGCUAUCUACGGAGUUACGCCCUUUCCUCGCGCCGCCGCGCCGCUCACGUACGAUCCUGUAACACCCCAAAACAACGUGGGGUGAGAACCAACUCCAUGGUUCCCAGUGGGUACGGCCACCCAAGGGAAAAGCUCGACCGACAGGUUCAAAGGAGGCAACUGCAGGUUAGUUUAAUAAACAGAUAGAUAGAUAUUUUGACUAUGCAAUUAAUAGAACCAUACCUUGCCUCGCAAUUGUAACAAUGCUAUGCAAUAUGCAAUACCUGUAAAUCAUGCAAGUAGAUUACUUGAUCUACUUUAUAUCAUUAACCAUACUUUACUUGUAGCCGUUCUUUUCUUUAUUAGCUAUUCACGUUCGUUAGUUAUUCUUUAUUCUUUACUCUUUGUCUUAUUGUGCUCACUGGCGAUUCUUUCCUAAGGUUAUUUUACCUUAGCCAUCUAUGCCACUCGACUCGGUCUCGAGUCAAUCAACUGCGGAUAGUCCGCACUCUGUCCGGCUCAAGGUGAAGGACCUCUCACUUACACCUCAGCCUUCAGUCUACAAACAUCUCGCCAACGGGUCGCCCAGAGCUGCGUACACCCGUGGUCAGGGAUCUUUCCGGUGGGAAGGGGAUUAUACCACAAACUCAACCCGCGGCCCAAGACCCCCGAUAGGGAAGGGGACAUGCCACACUCAACCCUAGCAAAGCACGAUUCUGCCGACAGGAGGGGGAACCUGCCACACUCGACCCGCGGCCUCGAAUCAGCCUCAAGCUCAUCCUCGAAGUUCGUCCAGUGGGAGGGGACCCUGUCACACUCAACCCACUGCUCUAGAACUGUCGAGUUCACAAUCCUAAGAUUCCGGAAUCUAUUUCCCAAGCCUCUAGGGUAAUCUCAAACCCUAUGAUAUCGACCUAUCUAGGUCCAAUGCACUUUCUGUCCUAGGUCUAGCUGACUCUAGGUUUAAUGCCUUUUUUCACAUAACCUAUGUUCUUUAAACUAGGUUAAGCCUCUCUACCUAGAUCUUAUUAACUCUAGGUUCAACAACACUAAGUUCAUUGUCAACCUAGGUUUACCAACACUAGGUUCGAUAUCGAUUUACCUAGACCUUGAAUCUAGGUUCAUUAUGUUCAACCUAUGUUCACGACACUAGGUUAAUGCCACUCGAUCUAGCCUAGGUUCACGACACUAGGUUUAACAUCAUUCAUAUUCAUCCUAGGUUCUUGACCCUAGGUUCAUAUUCGACCUAUGUUAAUUACACUAGGUUCGGCGCCACUCGAUCUAGUUGGCCCUACUUGUCCACAUCGAGUUUCUAUAAUCAUAUAUACUCUAGCAUGCAUUCUAUGAUGCCGACAUGCAUCUACAUUUAACAUAGCCUACAUUAUCAUCGUGCAUGUUAUACAUGUAUAGCUUUUCUCAUCAUGUCAAUAAGCAUUAUCCUCUCGCAUGCAUUUUCAUAAGGUCAAUAUGCUCUUGUCAUCUAACUUGUAUUCACAUGAUGCACUUAUGCAUUUUAUCCAACCGCACUUACAUGCUCUAUUAUGAGUUGACAUGAACUAGCACUUGCAUAUAAUUCCAAUGCAUCAACAUGCCAUUAGCAACUAGCAUAAUUACUAUCAUUUAGUACAUGCAUCUUAACUAACAUGCUCACAUAAUGUUACAUGCACCUAGCAUACAUUCCAAUGCACAAAUAUAUCGCUUGUAUCUAGUUACUAGCAUGUACUUCCCAAUGCAUUAUUAUGCAAUUAUCACUAAACAUUACCCAACAUGAUCUCAUAACUCAUAAGGUUAACAAUAGGUUAACAUUCAUUUAUAUGCUCAUGUUCUCUAAUACAUGUCAACAUGAAUCUCAUAAUGCUAAAUGCCCCAAGCAUGUAUUUCACUAAGCAUACAUACUAAUAUGCAAAUUACCAACUAGCAUGCAUUUAUACAAUGCAAAUAUGCCCGUAUGCACAUACAUAUAUGCAUCAACCAAAAAUCUAUAUUUCGCUUUGACAUGUGGGGCGACCAAGUCGCUUCGGUAAGCACAACCCACCUCGAUUCGCGUUCCGAUUGCUUGUCGACACUUGCAAUCGGCCUCCUGCGGCACCCGUAUCCGGCACGGCCCGAUAUCGCAACUGCGCCUCAACCGUGCUCCGCUUCGCAGCCCCGAAAAUUAUAGGUCCUCGGUUACGUGCCACGGUGCUUCAAAUCUAUUUCCAUGAUUUUACGACGUCGCCUCGGCCCUCCCGGCGGACCCGAAGCCUAAACGUCCGUUUCUUUAAUAACUUCGCAACGGCUCGUCGGAUUGCCAAACCGUCUUCGCCAACGCGUUUCGUUACCUAGCAAUUAGGUUUAUAUAGGUUCAAUUUAGAUCAAACCCAUCUAUUUACAAAAAUUGCAUUUUUGAAGCCCUACAAUGCUACUAUUGUAAAAUACUUCAAAUCAAUUCAUAAUUUAUGCAUUAUCCAUCUAUGUAGCAUCUUAGGAGUCAUCUAAAACCAAUUCUAGAGUUUAUAAGCCAAACCCUAAACGCUUACCGAAUUUGUGAACGCCGAGUCGAAAGCACGCCGUUCAAACGGCCGGACGAAAACCCGAUCCGACGCUUCGCACGCGUUCCAAAACUCGCUCUCCGCCAACGCCGCGAAUUUGAGCACGAAAUAUAGAGAGAUGAGAGAGAUAUUUAGAGAGAGAAAGAGAGGGUUUAUCUCUCCCUCACCAUGUGCGUGUGAUGCUUGGUGCUGGCUGCGGCUGAGGAAGAAGGAGUCAACACUCCUUUUUAUAGUCAACACCAAAACACUAUUCACUUUAGCACAAUUUCAGUUUAGCGGCUCAAAAUCUGAUACCUUUCGCCGGAGCCCUCUGAAUAUCCGUUUGGGCUCAAAUUUGACAGUCAUGUUCGGUUUUACUUAACUUAACGAAAGAAAUUUUAAUCUUUCAGUUUCGACCCCGUUUGGUCACUGAAAGCUGUACCGAACUGUAAUCUUUAUCAGAUAGCUGUCGGAUUUUAUUUUCCAUCUUCCGGGUGUCCGAAAAAUAUGAAACUUUAAAUCUAGCUCACAAAAAUAUUUCUGACAUCCCCGCCAAUUUUCAUAAUUUUCUGAGACUGUGCAUUUUCUACUAAUUUAUCUGUCCCAUUUUCAACAGAAAAUUCUAAAUCUCCUGUUUUCGCUCCGAUUUCAGCACAGGUCAUUCCCAACCUAUAUUUCACUUCUCUAAAUCCAAUAAAAAUAGUAUCUCAUACUGAUUUUAUUUAUUUUUAUUUUUAUAUUUAAAAUCCGGUAUGUUACAUUCCACCGCAACCUCACCGGAACCAUUUAAACGUACACCGUAACUUCAUAAUUUUAUAAGUUCGGUAUGUUACA